rnacentral:rRNA from 1 species
UACGUAGGGUGCAAGCGUUGUCCGGAAUUAUUGGGCGUAAAGAGCUCGUAGGCGGUUUGUCGCGUCUGCUGUGAAAACCCGAGGCUCAACCGCGGGCCUGCAUUCGAUACGGGCAGGCUAGAGUUCGGUAGGGGAGACUGGAAUUCCUGGUGUAGCGGUGGAAUGCGCAGAUAUCAGGAGGAACACCAAUGGCGAAGGCAGAUCUCUGGGCCGUAACUGACGCUGAGGAGCGAAAGCAUGGGGAGCGAACAGG